GGAGUUAGCCGGUGCUUCUUCUGUGAGUGAUGUCCUUCCUGCCGGCUAUUAACCCGCAGGCCUUCUUCCUCACUGAAAGUGCUUUACAACCCGAAGGCCUUCUUCACACACGCGGCAUGGCUGGAUCAGGGUUGCCCCCAUUGUCCAAUAUUCCCCACUGCUGCCUCCCGUAGGAGUCUGGGCCGUGUCUCAGUCCCAGUGUGGCUGAUCAUCCUCUCAGACCAGCUACGGAUCGUCGCCUUGGUGAGCCGUUACCUCACCAACCAGCUAAUCCGACAUAGGCUCAUCCGAUAGCGCGAGGCCCGAAGGUCCCCCGCUUUCCCCCGUAGGGCGUAUGCGGUAUUAGCCUGGGUUUCCCCAGGUUAUCCCCCACUACCGGGCAGAUUCCUAUGCAUUACUCACCCGUCCGCCGCUCGCCACCAGGAGCAAGCUCCCCGUGCUGCCGCUCGACUUGCAUGUGUUAGGCCUGCCGCCAGCGUUCAAUCUGAGCCAGGAUCAAACUCUGA
rnacentral:rRNA from 1 species